GACGAACGCUGGCGGCGUGCUUAACACAUGCAAGUCGAACGGAAAGGCCCUGCUUUUGUGGGGUGCUCGAGUGGCGAACGGGUGAGUAACACGUGAGUAACCUGCCCUUGACUUUGGGAUAACUUCAGGAAACUGGGGCUAAUACCGGAUAGGAGCUCCUGCUGCAUGGUGGGGGUUGGAAAGUUUCGGCGGUUGGGGAUGGACUCGCGGCUUAUCAGCUUGUUGGUGGGGUAGUGGCUUACCAAGGCUUUGACGGGUAGCCGGCCUGAGAGGGUGACCGGCCACCUUGGGACUGAGGGACGGCCCAGACUGCUACGGGGGGCAGCGGUGGGGAAUAUUGCCCAAUGGGAGGAAGCCUGAUGAAGCAGCGCCGCGUGUGGGAUGACGGUUUUCGGGUUGUAAACAGCUUUAGCCUGUGACGAAGCGUGAGUGACGGUAAUGGAUAAAGAAGCACCGGCUAACUACGUG
rnacentral:rRNA from 1 species